CAGGGAAUCUUCGGCAAUGGACGAAAGUCUGACCGAGCAACGCCGCGGGAGUGAAGAAGGUUUUCGGAUCGUAAAACUCUGUUGUCAGAGAAGAACAAGGACGUUAGUAACUGAACGUCCCCUGACGGUAUCUAACCAGAAAGCCACGGCUAACUACGUGCCAGCAGCCGCGGUAAUACGUAGGUGGCAAGCGUUGUCCGGAUAUAUUGGGUGUAAAGCGAGCGCAGGCGGGUUCUUAAGUCUGAUGUGAAAGCCCCCGGCCCAACCGGGGAGGGUCAUUGGAAACUGGGAGACUUGAGUGCAGAAGAGGAGAGUGGAAUUCCAUGUGUAGCGGUGAGAUGCGUAGAUAUAUGGAGGAACACCAGUGGCGAAGGCGGCUCUCUGGUCUGUAACUGACGCUGAGGCUCGAAAGCGUGGGGAACAAACAGG
rnacentral:rRNA from 1 species